CCCCUCUGAGGAUCACAGCUGGAGAGUUUCCAGUACUCUACCAGUCUCGGCUACAGGAGGGAGAGUCAAGCAGAGGCCUACCCAUUCCAUUCCUAGCUUGGGCAGUGGCUAGCAAGUUGGAGGCAGUCUGCUUCAUCA
rnacentral:snoRNA from 1 species